UUGCUUCUAUUCAUUUCUGAGUAGUUUUUUAUAUAGUUUCUUUUUUCUUUUCUGUUAUAUUUAUUCUUUUGUUUUUAUUUCUGAGUUGUAAUAAGUCAUUAGAAAUAAGCAUCUAUGCUAUUUUUUUAGUAAAGUUAAUCAAAAUUAUUUUUUCUUCUAUUUAUUUCUGAGUGGUUUUUUAUAUAGUUUUUUUCUUUUCUGCUACAUUUAUUUUUUUCUUUAUAUUUCUGAGUUGUAAUAAGUCAUUAAAAAUAAAAAAGAGGCGCAAUGCUCGUUAAGACGAAGCCGCUCCCCUGGAGAAAUACGAGUGGGUCAACGGUAGUCACACGAUGAUGCCUUCAUCAUGGUAACGACAUGGAACACCGCCAUCGCCCGCCGUCAGCUCGGUUUUCACCGGCAACUACGUCUCCCCGACUCGCAGCUGGUGCCAGAUGACGGAUCCCGAGAUCCGAACACCCAGCCUCAGGCCGACCACCUCUGACUGAAGAGAUGACCACCAUCUAUGCUCAUUUUUUAGUAAAGUUAAUCAUAACUAUUUUUUCUUCUAUUUAUUUUUGAAUUGUAAUAAGUCAUUAAAAAUAAGCAUCUACGCUCAUAUUUUAGUAAAGUUAAUCACAACUACUUUCUUUUCUUUUUAUUUCUGAGUUGUAAUAAGUCAUUACAAAUAAGCAUCUAUGCUCCUUUUUUAGUACAGUUAAUCACAACUAUUUUUUGCUUCAAUUCAUUUCUGAGUAUCUUUUUAUAUAGUUUUUUUUUCUUUUCUGCUAUAUUUAUUUUUUUCUUUUUAUUUCUAAGUUGUAAUAAGUCAUUAAAAAUAAGCAUCUAUGCUCCUUUUUUAGUACAGUUAAUCACAACUAUUUUUUGGUUCAAUUCAUUUAUGAGUAGUUUUCUAUAUAGUUUUUUUUCUUUUCAGUUAUUUUUUUCUUUUUAUUUCUCAGUUGUAAGUCAUUA
rnacentral:lncRNA from 1 species